rnacentral:misc_RNA from 1 species
GUUUUCCUGUGUGAAUAACUCUUCUCUUUUAUAAUUGUUUUUUUUUUAGAAUCUUGAUCUAAUUGAUUAGGAAAUACAGAUCUACUUGAUUACGCAUCUUGAAGCCAAUAUUUUCUAUAAUCAUGGAGUUUGAAAGUUCAAGUGAGGCAUCGUUGGAGAAAUCAAUGGAGAAUGCGCUGCACUUGCAAAAUUCAGAUAAUCCAGGUUUAAUCUUGGU